GAUGAACGCUAGCGGCAGGCCUAACACAUGCAAGUCGAGGGAGGAGCUUUCGGGCUUCGACUGGCGUACGGGUGCGUAACGCGUAUACAAUCUGCCUUUCCCAUAUCGAUAGCUCGAUGAAAUUUGGCUUAAUACCUCAUGGUCUAUUGAGGUGUCAUCCCCUUUAUUUUAAACCUGAGGCGGUGAAAGAUGAGUAUGCGUUCUAUUAGCUAGUGGGAGAGGUAACGUCUCCCCAAGGCGACGCUACAUAGGGGUUCUGAGAGGGAUAUCCACCACACUGGUACUGAGAUACGGACCAGACUGCUACGGAAGGCAGCAGUGAGGAAUAUUGGACGAGGGAGGGAAGACUGAUCCAGCCAUGCGGGGGGAAGAAAGACGGGGUUAGGGGUGGUAAACUGCUGGGGAAGAGGAAGAAUAAGGACUACGCGUAGUUUGAUGACGAUACUCUGCGAAUAAGCAUCGGCUAACUCCGUG
rnacentral:rRNA from 1 species